UGGGGAAUUUUGGACAAUGGGCGCAAGCCUGAUCCAGCCAUGCCGCGUGUCUGAAGAAGGCCUUCGGGUUGUAAAGGACUUUUGUCCGGGAGCAAAUGCCGGUGGCUAAUAUCCACUGGAGCUGAGAGUACCGGAAGAAUAAGCACCGGCUAACUACGUGC
rnacentral:rRNA from 1 species